rnacentral:misc_RNA from 1 species
GAUGAAGAACGCAGCGAAAUGCGAUAAGUAGUGUGAAUUGCAGAAUUCAGUGAAUCAUCGAAUCUUUGAACGCACCUUGCGCCCUUUGGCUAUUCCGAAGGGCAUGCCUGUUUGAGUAUCAUGAACACCUCAACUCUCAUGGUUUUUCCAUGAUGGGCUUGGACUUUGGGGGUCUUGCCGGCCUAUGGUCAGCUCCUCUUAAAUGAAUCAGCUUGCCAGUGUUUGGUGUGGCAUCACAGGUGUGAUAACUAUCUACGCUUGUGGUUUUCCAUCAAGUAACCUUCAGUGAUGGAGGUUCGCUGGGGCUCAUAAAGGCCUCUCCUCGGUGAGGAUGGCUCCUUUGAACGUUUGAUCUCAAAUCAGGUAGGACUACCCGCUGAACUUAAGCAUAUCAAUAAGCGGAGGA